rnacentral:rRNA from 1 species
CCUACGGGAGGCAGCAGUGAGGAAUAUUGGUCAAUGGACGAGAGUCUGAACCAGCCAAGUAGCGUGAAGGAUGACUGCCCUAUGGGUUGUAAACUUCUUUUAUAAAGGAAUAAAACGAGGCACGUGUGCCUUUUUGCAUGUACUUUAUGAAUAAGGAUCGGCUAACUCCGUGCCAGCAGCCGCGGUAAUACGGAGGAUCCGAGCGUUAUCCGGAUUUAUUGGGGUUAAAGGGAGCGUAGAUGGGUUGUUAAGUCAGUUGUGAAAGUUUCGGGCUCAACCGUAAAAUUGCAAUUGAUACUGGCAUUCUUGAGUACAGUUGAGGUAGGCGGAAUUCGUGGUGUAGCGGUGAAAUGCUUAGAUAUCACGAAGAACCCCGAUUGCGAAGGCAGCUUACUAAACUGUGACUGACAUUGAUGCUCGAAAGUGUGGGUAUCAAACAGGAUUAGAUACCCUUGUAGUC